UGCAGUCGACGCCCGGUGCUUUUCUUGUUGCUCUUCUUCGGGAGGAUGCGCAAGAGGGCAGCGGGAGUGACGGACGGGUGCGUAACACGUGAGCGACCUGCCGUUGUGUGGGGGAUAACCGGGGGAAACUCCGGCCAAUACCGCAUGGGCCCUGGGGCUGCAUGGCCCGGGGGUGAAAGGUCCUUUGGGGGACUGCGCGACGAGGGGCUCGCGGCGUAUCAGCUAGCUGGUGGGGUAACGGCCUACCAGGGCGAUGACGCGUAGCUGAUCUGAGAGGAUGAUCAGCCACAUUGGGACUGAGAUACGGCCCAGACUCCUACGGGAGGCAGCAGUGGGGAAUCUUGCGCAAUGGCCGAGAGGCUGACGCAGCGACGCCGCGUGCGGGAGGACACUCUUCGGGGUGUAAACCGCUGUCGGGAGGGACGAAGAUCCUGGGGAGGCAAUGCCCCGGGGGUGACGGUACCUUCAGAGGAAGCACCGGCUAACUCCGUGCCAGCAGCCGCGGUAAUACGGAGGGUGCGAGCGUUGUUCGGAAUUACUGGGCGUAAAGGGCGCGUAGGCGGCCGUUUAAGUCUACCUGUGAAAGGCCGGGGCUCAACCCCGUGCUGGCAGAGAUACUGGGGGGCUGGAGACAGGCAGAGGCGGGUGGAAUUCCGGGUGUAGCGGUGGAAUGCGUAGAGAUCCGGAGAACACCGGGGGCGAAUGCGGCCCGCUGGGACUGAUCUGACGCUGAGC
rnacentral:rRNA from 1 species